AAUGAACGCUGGCGGCAGGCCUAACACAUGCAAGUCGAACGGGUCCUUCGGGACUAGUGGCGGACGGGUGAGUAACGCAUCGGAACGUGCCCAGUAGUGGGGGAUAACCAGUCGAAAGAUUGGCUAAUACCGCAUACGACCUAAGGGUGAAAGCGGGGGACCGUAAGGCCUCGCGCUAUUGGAGCGGCCGAUGUCUGAUUAGCUAGUUGGCGGGGUAAGAGCCCACCAAGGCGACGAUCAGUAGCUGGUCUGAGAGGACGACCAGCCACACUGGGACUGAGACACGGCCCAGACUCCUACGGGAGGCAG
rnacentral:rRNA from 1 species